rnacentral:rRNA from 1 species
UGGGGAAUCUUCCGCAAUGGACGAAAGUCUGACGGAGCAACGCCGCGUGAGUGAUGACGGCCUUCGGGUUGUAAAGCUCUGUUAAUCGGGACGAAUGGUUCUUGUGCGAAUAGUGCAAGGAUUUGACGGUACCGGAAUAGAAAGCCACGGCUAACUACGUGCCAGCAGCCGCGGUAAUACGUAGGUGGCAAGCGUUGUCCGGAAUUAUUGGGCGGAAAGCGCGCGCAGGCGGAUUGGUCAGUCUGUCUUAAAAGUUCGGGGCUUAACCCCGUGAUGGGAUGGAAACUGCCAAUCUAGAGUAUCGGAGAGGAAAGUGGAAUUCCUAGUGUAGCGGUGAAAUGCGUAGAUAUUAGGAAGAACACCAGUGGCGAAGGCGACUUUCUGGACGAAAACUGACGCUGAGGCGCGAAAGCCAGGGGAGCGAACGGG